rnacentral:tRNA from 1 species
GCGGAUAUGGCGUAAUUGGUAGCCGCGCUAGACUUAGGAUCUAGUGCCGAAAGGCGUGGGGGUUCGAGUCCCUCUAUCCGCACUA